rnacentral:rRNA from 1 species
AAGUGGACGAACCUCUAGUGUACCAGUUGUUCCGUCAGGGGCAUCGCUGGGUAGCUACGUUCGGAAAGGAUAAGCGCUGAAAGCAUAUAAGCGCGAAACCCACCCUAAGAUUGGAUUUCCCUGCCUUUAUGGCAAUAAGGUUCGUUGAAGACUACAACGUUGAUAGGCCACAGGUGUAAGAUCAGUAAUGGUUUCAGCCGAGUGGUACUAAUAAACCGAAUGGCUUUACUAAA